rnacentral:rRNA from 1 species
UACGUAGGGGGCGAGCGUUGUCCGGAUUUACUGGGCGUAAAGGGCUCGUAGGCGGCCAACUAAGUCAUACGUGAAAUCCCUCAGCUUAACUGGGGAACUGCGUGUGAUACUGGAUGGCUUGGAUUUGGGAGAGGGAUGCGGAAUUCCAGGUGUAGCGGUGAAAUGCGUAGAUAUCUGGAGGAACACCGGUGGCGAAGGCGGCAUCCUGGACCAAUAUUGACGCUGAGGAGCGAAAGCUAGGGGAGCAAACGGG